rnacentral:rRNA from 1 species
GGAAUCUUGCACAAUGGGGGCAACCCUGAUGCAGCGACGCCGCGUGGGUGAAGAAGGGUUUCGGCUCGUAAAGCCCUUUUCUGCGUGACGAGAAUGACGGUAGCGCAGGAAGAAGUCUCGGCUAACUACGUGCCAGCAGCCGCGGUAAAACGUAGGAGGCGAGCGUUAUCCGGAGUUCCUGGGCUUAAAGCGCGUGUAGGCGGUUGGGCAAGCUGGGUGUGAAAGCGCCAGGCUCAACCUGGCGAGGCCAUCCAGGACUGCUCGGCUGGAGGCCGGUAGAGGAGUGCGGAAUUCCGGGUGUAGCGGUGAAAUGUGUAGAGAUCCGGAGGAACACCAGUGGUGCAGACGGCGCUCUGGGCCGGACCUGACGCUGAGACGCGAAAGCGUGGGGAGCGAAC